GAAUAAUUUAAUGGUAGAAUUUUGCUCUCAUAAGGCAAUAGUGAUGGUUCAAUUCCAUCUUCC
rnacentral:tRNA from 1 species